GGCAGAGUGGAGAAAAGAGCAUGGAUCUUGAUCUAGAUUCUAGGUUCAAAUCCUGGCUCUGCCA
rnacentral:tRNA from 1 species